rnacentral:rRNA from 1 species
GACAGAGGGGGCAAGCGUUGCUCGGAAUCACUGGGCGUAAAGGGCGCGUAGGCGGGAUGGCAAGUCAGUCGUGAAAUCUCUCGGCUCAACCGAGAAACGUCGGCUGAUACUGCCGUUCUUGAGGGAUGCAGAGGAGACUGGAAUUCCCGGUGUAGCGGUGAAAUGUGUAGAGAUCGGGAGGAACACCGGUGGCGAAGGCGGGUCUCUGGACCGAGACUGACGCUGAGGCGCGAAAGCGUGGGGAGCAAACAGG